UACAGAGGUCCCAAGCGUUGUUCGGAUUCAUUGGGCGUAAAGGGUGCGUAGGCGGCGCGGGAAGUCGGGUGUGAAAUCUCGGAGCUUAACUCCGAAACUGCAUUCGAUACUGCCGUGCUUGAGGACUGGAGAGGAGACUGGAAUUUACGGUGUAGCGGUGAAAUGCGCAGAUAUCAGGAAGAACACCCGUGGCUAAGGCGGCUCUCUAGUACGGUACUGACGCUGAGACGCGAAAGCGUGGGGAGCGAACAGG
rnacentral:rRNA from 1 species